UCAGAAGAGAAGAUUUUUGUAAAAAUUAAUGACGACGACGAAUAAUGAGAAAAUGAGAAAAGCUCACUUAGUCCUAUGGUCCAGGUGAGCUAAAAAGCAAAACGGACAAAAAGCAACGGACAAAAAGCAAAAGUGUCGGACAAAAAGCAAAAUUAUCGGACAAAAAGCAAAACGGACAAAAAGCAACGGACAAAAAGCAAAAGUAUCGGACAAAAAGCAAAAUUAUCGGACAAAAAGCAAAACGGACAAAAAGCAACGGACAAAAAGCAAAAGUAUCGGACAAAAAGCAAAAUAAUCGGAC
rnacentral:lncRNA from 1 species